UUGCAGUAGCUGCUGUGAGACAGAGGCUGUAGGUAGAGAUGUCCCUCAGCUCUAAGAAAGCCAAGGGAAAGACAGAACACAUCUUCACAGCUGCAGACUUCAACCAAGAAGGUGCACGGGGAUUAUCCUUUUUCUGGCCACAAACAGAAAUAUGUGCUGAAAGAUCAGUGAAUUUGAAGUUGCUGGAAAAAAGAGACUGAUACACAGCUGAAUUACAGGAGGCUUAAUGAUUCACAUAUGAAAGAGAGGCCAGAGACAAAAGCUUAUUUCUCCAGUUCAUUCAAGAAAAUGUGUGGGGCCUUCCCUGGUGGCUCAGUGGUAAAGAAUCUGCCUGGCCAGUGCAGGAAAUGUGGGUUUGAUCCCUAAUGCAGGAAGAUCCCACAUGCUGUGGAGCAACUAAGCCUAUGCACCAGAACUACUGAGCUUGUGCU
rnacentral:lncRNA from 1 species